rnacentral:rRNA from 1 species
AUUGAACGCUGGCGGCAGGCCUAACACAUGCAAGUCGAACGAGUCGCGGAAGGGUGAGUAAUGUCUGGGACAGUGCCUGAUGGAGGGGGAUAACUACUGGAAACGAUAGCUAAUACCGCAUACCCUCAUAUGUUCCCAGAUGGGUUUCGCUAGUAGGGGGGGUAAGUGCUCACCUAGGCGACGAUCCCUAGCUGGUCUGAGAGGAUGACCAGCGACACUGGGACUGAGAGACGGCCCAGAGGCCUACGGGAGGCAGCAGUGGUGUAGAUUGCAAAAUGGGCGCAAGCCUUAUGCAGCCAUGCCGAGGGUAUGAAGAAGGCCCGAGGGUUUUAAAGUACUUUCAGUCGGGAGGAGUUACCGACAGAAUAAGCACCGGCUAACUCAGUGCCAGCAUCCGCGGUAAUUC